rnacentral:piRNA from 1 species
UCCCUGCAAGAUCUCGCAGGAAGGCCC